UUUAUGGAGAGUUUGAUCCUGGCUCAGGAUGAACGCUGGCGGCGUGCCUAAUACAUGCAAGUCGAGCGAACGGACGAGAAGCUUGCUUCUCUGAUGUUAGCGGCGGACGGGUGAGUAACACGUGGAUAACCUACCUAUAAGACUGGGAUAACUUCGGGAAACCGGAGCUAAUACCGGAUAAUAUUUUGAACCGCAUGGUUCAAAAGUAAAAGACGGUCUUGCUGUCACUUAUAGAUGGAUCCGCGCUGCAUUAGCUAGUUGGUAAGGUGACGGCUUACCAAGGCAACGAUGCAUAGCCGACCUGAGAGGGUGAUCGGCCACACUGGAACUGAGACACGGUCCAGACUCCUACGGGAGGCAGCAGUAGGGAAUCUUCCGCAAUGGGCGAAAGCCUGACGGAGCAACGCCGCGUGAGUGAUGAAGGUCUUCGGAUCGUAAAACUCUGUUAUUAGGGAAGAACAUAUGUGUAAGUAACUGUGCACAUCUUGACGGUACCUAAUCAGAAAGCCACGGCUAACUACGUGCCAGCAGCCGCGGUAAUACGUAGGUGGCAAGCGUUAUCCGGAAUUAUUGGGCGUAAAGCGCGCGUAGGCGGUUUUUUAAGUCUGAUGUGAAAGCCCACGGCUCAACCGUGGAGGGUCAUUGGAAACUGGAAAACUUGAGUGCAGAAGAGGAAAGUGGAAUUCCAUGUGUAGCGGUGAAAUGCGCAGAGAUAUGGAGGAACACCAGUGGCGAAGGCGACUUUCUGGUCUGUAACUGACGCUGAUGUGCGAAAGCGUGGGGAUCAAACAGGAUUAGAUACCCUGGUAGUCCACGCCGUAAACGAUGAGUGCUAAGUGUUAGGGGGUUUCCGCCCCUUAGUGCUGCAGCUAACGCAUUAAGCACUCCGCCUGGGGAGUACGACCGCAAGGUUGAAACUCAAAGGAAUUGACGGGGACCCGCACAAGCGGUGGAGCAUGUGGUUUAAUUCGAAGCAACGCGAAGAACCUUACCAAAUCUUGACAUCCUUUGACAACUCUAGAGAUAGAGCCUUCCCCUUCGGGGGACAAAGUGACAGGUGGUGCAUGGUUGUCGUCAGCUCGUGUCGUGAGAUGUUGGGUUAAGUCCCGCAACGAGCGCAACCCUUAAGCUUAGUUGCCAUCAUUAAGUUGGGCACUCUAAGUUGACUGCCGGUGACAAACCGGAGGAAGGUGGGGAUGACGUCAAAUCAUCAUGCCCCUUAUGAUUUGGGCUACACACGUGCUACAAUGGACAAUACAAAGGGCAGCGAAACCGCGAGGUCAAGCAAAUCCCAUAAAGUUGUUCUCAGUUCGGAUUGUAGUCUGCAACUCGACUACAUGAAGCUGGAAUCGCUAGUAAUCGUAGAUCAGCAUGCUACGGUGAAUACGUUCCCGGGUCUUGUACACACCGCCCGUCACACCACGAGAGUUUGUAACACCCGAAGCCGGUGGAGUAACCUUUUAGGAGCUAGCCGUCGAAGGUGGGACAAAUGAUUGGGGUGAAGUCGUAACAAGGUAGCCGUAUCGGAAGGUGCGGCUGGAUCACCUCCUUUCU
rnacentral:rRNA from 1 species